GACGAACGCUGGCGGCGUGCUUAACACAUGCAAGUCGAACGGAAAGGCCCUGCUUGCGUGGGGUGCUCGAGUGGCGAACGGGUGAGUAACACGUGAGUAACCUGCCCUUGACUUUGGGAUAACUUCAGGAAACUGGGGCUAAUACCGUACAGCAGCCCACGCUCGAUGGUGGGCGUUGGAAAGUUUCGGCGGUUGGGGAUGGACUCGCGGCUUAUCAGCUUGCUGGUGGGGUAGGGGCUUACCAAGGGUUUGACCGAUAGCCGACCUGAGAGGGGGACCGGCCACAUGGGGACUGCGAGAGGGCGCAGACUCGUACAGGAGACAGCAGGGGGAAAUAUUACACAGUGGGCGGAAGUGGGAUGCAACGACGCCGCGUGCGGAAAGACGGCCUGCGGGGUGAGAACCGCAGUCGCCUGAGACGAAGCGUGAGUGACGGUAAUGAGUAAAGAAGCACCGGCUAACUACGUG
rnacentral:rRNA from 1 species